CCUACGGGAGGCAGCAGUGAGGAAUAUUGGUCAAUGGGAGAGAUCCUGAACCAGCCAAGCCGCGUGAGGGAAGACGGCCCUAUGGGUUGUAAACCUCUUUUGUCGGAGAACAAAACCCGGGACGUGUCCCGGACUGCGUGUAUCCGAAGAAAAAGCAUCGGCUAACUCCGUGCCAGCAGCCGCGGUAAUACGGAGGAUGAGAGCGUUAUCCGGAUUUAUUGGGGUUAAAGGGUGCGUGGGCGGUCCGUUAAGUCAGCGGUAAAAGUGCGGGGCUCAACCCCGUCGAGCCGUUGACACUGGCAGACUUGAGUUGGCGAGAGGUACGCGGAAUGCGCGGUGUAGCGGUGAAAUGCAUAGAUAUCGCGCAGAACUCCGGUUGCGAAGGCAGCGUACCGGCGCCAGACUGACGCUGAGGCACGAAAGCGUGGGGAUCGAACAGGAUUAGAUACCCUUGUAGUC
rnacentral:rRNA from 1 species